AUGAAAGAUAUGUUGCAAUCUGAUGAAUCAUCGUCCAAAGGAGAAGCUUUGCAGGUACGAGUCAGACCUGAGCAGAAAAAAUACAACAACAACAACAACAACAACAGAGAUAAAAGCAAGAACGACAAAGGUCGUUUGAAGUCCGGAGGAUUUGGGAAGGAAAAAUUCUGUAUGUAUUAUAAGAAAGAGGAUCACCUCAUUGAUGACUAUUGGAAGUUGGAAAAUAAGGAGAAGAGGAACGGUACGUGGAAACCUAAAAACAAAUCCGAUGCUGAUGGUAAGGUCAAUGUUACACCUGGUAAUAAGUCUUAUUCAUAUGAUGCUUUAGUUGUUUUUGCUGGUUGUGUUUCAUGUCAUGAUGAAUGGAUACUUGAUUCUGCCUGUUCGUUUCUUAUAUGCUGUAACAAAGAUUGGUUUAGUACUUAUGAUUUUGUAUAG
rnacentral:rRNA from 1 species